rnacentral:hammerhead_ribozyme from 1 species
UUACAGCUGACCAGUCCUAAAUAGGACGAAACUCGCGUCCUACAU